AACGGCCAUACAAUGCUGAAUAUAUCGGUUCUCGUUAGAUCACCGAAGUCAAGCAUCAUUGGGCGUGGGUGACCACCUGGGUGGGUCACCACCUGGGAACACCGCGUGUAGU